UACGUAGGGUGCAAGCGUUGUCCGGAAUUAUUGGGCGUAAAGAGCUCGUAGGCGGUUUGUCGCGUCUGCUGUGAAAACCCGAGGCUCAACCUCGGGCCUGCAGUGGGUACGGGCAGACUAGAGUGCGGUAGGGGAGAUUGGAAUUCCUGGUGUAGCGGUGGAAUGCGCAGAUAUCAGGAGGAACACCAAUGGCGAAGGCAGAUCUCUGGGCCGUAACUGAUGCUGAGGAGCGAAAGCAUGGGGAGCGAACAGG
rnacentral:rRNA from 1 species